rnacentral:lncRNA from 1 species
GUUGUUGUUGUUGCUGGAAAAAGGAAGGGGCAUACGGAUGCUGUUGUCUUCUAUAGCUUACAACAGAAAGGAGAGUUAAAGCAAAUGGGACUAUGUUUCACUAUCCAAGCUAAGAAAGGCUUCAAGGAAAACAUCUGAGACAGCAGCACAGAAAUUCAUUUGAGCAUCGUAAUACUAGAAGGUGACUUGAAGAUGAUUCAAGUAUGACACUAGCACUGAGGGCUCUGCUAACUUUCAGCUUUGGACUUCUUCAAAUCUUGGAUCAAUAACCAGGCAAAUGAUUACAUCACAAAUACUUUCCGGGAUGUCUUUCAGUGAUUUUUUGGAUAAUAUCCUGGGAAGGCCAAGUGGAAAUCAGUAACAGAAAGAGAGAAGAAAGGAUGCAAUGGGAGUGAUGACUGCAAACUAGUGAAAGACUGCCUCUACAAAAAGAAGCAUGAGGGAGGAAACAAUAAUGACGACACAGAUUGUGUUCGUGCAAACAAAGAAAUAAAGAGGAUUCAACUAAGCAUGGAAUGAUAGAAUGGGAUGGUGAUAGAAUGAGGUGGGUAAUCAAUCUACUUUGGGGGAAAAAUCAAUAAAUUACAAGGUAUAUUAAUCUGGUUGAAACA